rnacentral:rRNA from 1 species
GAUGAACGCUGGCGGCGUGCCUAAUACAUGCAAGUCGAGCGAACGGACGAGAAGCUUGCUUCUCUGAUGUUAUCGGCGGACGGGUGAGUAACACGUGGAUAACCUACCUAUAAGACUGGGAUAACUUCGGGAAACCGGAGCUAAUACCGGAUGAUAUUUUGAACCGCAUGGUUCAAAAGUGAAAGACGGUCUUGCUGUCACUUAUAGAUGGAUCCGCGCUGCAUUAGCUAGUUGGUAAGGUAACGGCUUACCAAGGCAACGAUGCAUAGCCGACCUGAGAGGGUGAUCGGCCACACUGGAACUGAGACACGGUACAGACUCCUACGGGAGGCAGCAGUAGGGAAUCUUCCGCAAUGGGCGAAAGCCUGACGGAGCAACGCCGCGUGAGUGAUGAAGGUCUUCGGAUCGUAAAACUCUGUUAUUAGGGAAGAACAUAUGUGUAAGUAACUGUGCACAUCUUGACGGUACCUAAUCAGAAAGCCACGGCUAACUACGUG